AUUGAACGCUGGCGGCAGGCCUAACACAUGCAAGUCGAACGGUAACAGGAAGAAGCUUGCUUCUUUGCUGACGAGUGGCGGACGGGUGAGUAAUGUCUGGGAAACUGCCUGAUGGAGGGGGAUAACUACUGGAAACGGUAGCUAAUACCGCAUAACGUCGCAAGACCAAAGAGGGGGACCUUCGGGCCUCUUGCCAUCGGAUGUGCCCAGAUGGGAUUAGCUAGUAGGUGGGGUAACGGCUCACCUAGGCGACGAUCCCUAGCUGGUCUGAGAGGAUGACCAGCCACACUGGAACUGAGACACGGUCCAGACUCCGACGGGAGGCAGCAGUGGGGAAUAUUGCACAAUGGGCGCAAGACUGAUGCAGCCAUGCCGCGUGUAUGAAGAAGGCCUUCGGGUUGUAAAGUACUUUCAGCGGGGAGGAAGGGAGUAAAGUUAAUACCUUUGCUCAUUGACGUUACCCGCAGAAGAAGCACCGGCUAACUCCG
rnacentral:rRNA from 1 species